rnacentral:rRNA from 1 species
UCAAAUUUGAAAUCUGGCGCCUUCGGUGUCCGAGUUGUAAUUUGAAGAUUGUAACCUUGGGGUUGGCUCUUGUCUAUGUUUCUUGGAACAGGACGUCACAGAGGGUGAGAAUCCCGUGCGAUGAGAUGCCCAAUUCUAUGUAAGGUGCUUUCGAAGAGUCGAGUUGUUUGGGAAUGCAGCUCUAAGUGGGUGGUAAAUUCCAUCUAAAGCUAAAUAUUGGCGAGAGACCGAUAGCGAACAAGUACAGUGAUGGAAAGAUGAAAAGAACUUUGAAAAGAGAGUGAAAAAGUACGUGAAAUUGUUGAAAGGGAAGGGUUUGAGAUCAGACUCGAUAUUUUGUGAGCCUUGCCUUCGUGGCGGGGUGACCCGCAGCUUAUCGGGCCAGCAUCGGUUUGGGCGGUAGGAUAAUGGCGUAGGAAUGUGACUUUACUUCGGUGAAGUGUUAUAGCCUGCGUUGAUGCUGCCUGCCUAGACCG